rnacentral:tRNA from 1 species
GGAAGUGUAGCUCAGUGGUAGAGUGUUUAUCUAGCAUGCAUAAGGCCCUGCUUGGGAUUAAUUCCCAGCACUACUG